CAACAAGUCCCAGUCUGCCGCA
rnacentral:miRNA from 2 species